UGUGUUGCUGGGAGCUGCUAAACCCAUGUGUAUCUUCCCAUAAGUGCUACAGGAAUAAAACUGCUUUCUCACCCCUCAGCUUGCUGUCCUGCUGGUCUGUGGUGCUGUGGGAUGAACGCAGCCUCUGGGUUAUGGCAGGGUCUACAUCAUUUUUGAUCUUUCUUGCUGCCCUUGGGGGCAGCAGCCAGCCAGGACUUGGGUAGAGGACACCCACAGCAAGGGCUAGGACUGAUUUGUGCUAUCCAGUAACCUCCUGGUCUGAACAACUUCUGGCGUCUUAAAGUUUAAUAGUGGAGGAACAAUCAUUGUUUAAUAUAUCUGCAAGCUGUCACGACUUAUCCAUCAGAAAAAUACUUGCCCUGUCUCUGAUGUUUUAGCUCUUGAACUGGAUUCAGUGUCAGCUUUGGUCCAAACAACCCUUGAGAGACAGUGGAAUAAAGUCAGAGGUCCAUCUGAGCAAAGCGGUGAUUCAUGAUCUGAUGUCAAAUAUUCACAUCUGUCGCUGAAUCAAGUGUCUCAUAAGGAGAAGGUCAUUUAUUCUUGAUACUUCUGUCCUCUCUUCAAGAUGUGCGAUAUGAGACUAAUUUAAUGAACAGCAUUAACUGGAAGAUUCUUAAAAACAAUUGUUGAGGGGAUGGUAUAAGAACUUGGCUUGCCUGGAGAGACUUUAAUACAGCUCAGGACCAUUUCAGAAGAAAGGUGACUCUGCCCUCAUUUAUGCCUUAGGCACCACUCCAGGGAUACAACUAGAAGGCACUACAUGCCCAGAGGCUGAGAAUGCACUCAACUAGUGAAGCCUCUCUGGUCUAUGCCCGCUGUCAGAAAUAAGCAGCUUAUUCUUUCCUGCUAGAAGAAGAGGACGACCUAAUUCCUAAGUAAGAUGUCUCCCUUUCCCCUUGUUGGAGGCAGCUGCCGAGAACUUUGCUUUCCCUGGUACCAGCACAUAGCCGUAUGUGUUCUGUCACCAGUUUGCCCUUGUAAGUCUCUGAUUUGUGAGCUGGGUAUCUUGAGAUGCCAGGGCCAGGCUGUUUGCCAAGUUCCAUUUGAGGUCUCUUUCCCACGUGGCUAAUUCCAGCAGGUGUGUUCAUCUUUGAUCUGGCAUGAAGUUUAAAUCGCACUGUUGGAACUUCAGGAGGUUCCAGCGUAGGUGGUGAGAUAAAAGGCUCUGCUGUGAGGGCUCAGAGUUGUUUGUCUGUUCUUGACCUACUUGUUCAUGUGAAGGUGUUAACAGACCUGGAGUCUCUGUGCAUAACCCUGGAGAGGUGUCUUUUUACAUCCAUGACCACUUUGAUGCAUGAGUUUUACUCCAAUGCUUCGGACUUGUUCUGCAUUGGUCUGGGAUCAUAAGGCCUGUCUUCUAUAUGGAAGAAGACAUCAUCUUUCCUUCCAUUCUGUAAAAGAAGAUGGCUGUAUUGUUGAUUUGUCUUACAUGGUAACUCUGGGAAUGUAAGCCUCUGGGCAAAGAGGGGAUUUUCUUUGUGCUUUGUUUCUUCCUCUUCCAUCCUCAACAAGCACAGGCAUAAUUUCAUCUAAAGAAAAGCCACACUGAGCAAUUACAUAUUUUUGAGCCAUUAUUACUAUAUUGUAAUGGGUGCACCUCAUGGACAAGUAGAAUUUCUGUGUUUGCUUUAGCGACUGCAUCCUGCCAACAGAUUGGUUCAUAUUCUGGGAGCUGUUUUUCCACUUUAGUUCCUUCUGUUCACAGAUUUUCAUAAAUAACAACUUAGGAUGUGAUUUAUUGCUCCUAAGUAUUGUCUCUACCAUAUCAAUUAAAUAAAUACACAUUAAGCAUAAUGAUAAUUGGCUGAUGUUCCUCAGGGUUCACUCCCUGGCCUUCUGUUCUGUGCAGUUCACACAAUUCUUAUCUGUAGAUUAUGAUGAUGAACAAUCAGCAUUGCAGAAGAAAUAUAUUUUGCUUACUAUCAACAUUUUUCAACCUCUAUUAGUGACAGUGUUUUGUUGAACUGAUGAACUGAAUGUCCAUAAACCACCUGUGCUUUAGGGGAACUCGGAUUUAGCAUUUGAAAUGGUUAGCUGAGUAACUACUGUCAAGAACUUAAAGUACUCUGCCUUUGAUUGACACAUUUUAUAGUAAAGACACUAUUUGUCAUUCCCAUACCAGAAGGUAUUUAUUUCUUUUUUUUGUUUCUAAGACAAAGAAUAGAAAAAAAUGAAACAAGAAGCUUUUCUUAUGCUUUUCAAUCAAUCUCUGUUGCAUAGUAAUGCAUAAAAUGCAUGAAAUGCAUUUUUUCACAUGUUGCUUAUUAUCAGAAACUAAUAGCAGAAAUUCUGAUUAGUCUUAUGGAUGGCUUAUAUAUUCCACUCUUUUAAACUAAUCUAUAUUUUACACAUUUCUAAUUAAAAUGCAAUAAUACUUUGAGAAGUUACUCCUAAAGUGGCAGGGAGGGGACAAUCACAAUUAUUGUUUUUAUUUUAUUUCCUGGCCUCUUAAUGAAUUCUGUAUAAACCAUAUCAGGAAAAUUAAUUUUUAAAAUAUCCAACUAUGCAAAUUUAAUCAGAUAUGGAAGUCAACAGGGGAAUAUUUUAAAAUUUUCAACAUAUUAUCUGUAGUAAUUUUUUUUAAGGAGAUUUUGUGAAUAAAUCCAUUGAUGCUGCAUGAGCCAGAAAAUAAUCCACGUCUUUUACAUGUGUGCGCUAUUUUUAUUUCACCUGUUGUGAUGAAAAAGGGGUAAAAUCUUUUUUUUCACACCAAUUCAUAGAAGUUAGAAGUACAGUUCACAAAUGCACUAAAAUAUGCUUUACAACAAACACAUUCAUGUGUUUGGCAGGCUGUACCUUUGUGUGCUUGUUCUAGUAUAGAUGUUUGCCUUUUUGCAGUGAGUGACAAUGUUGGCUCAUGUUCCUCUUGUAAUCCAUUAUAAACUGCGUAUCUUUUCUGCAGAACUGCUGUCUAGGCAAUCAUUCCUGAUCCUGUGUCAUGCAAUUGAUUAUUCUUGGCUCUGUAUGUGCACUCUUCCCUGCUGAACUAUAUUACUUUUUUCAAUCUGUUUCCCUAUUUGUCAAGAUGGUAUUGAAUUCUAAUGCUGCUCUAUAACAUAGUAGUGGUAUAUUCCAGGGUGAUAUCACCUACUGAUUUAGUGAGGAUAAUCUCUGUUCUACCAUUCAGAUCUUUAAUAAAUACAUUAAC